GGGGCCGAGACAGGCGUUCGAUUGGCGACAAAGCCCCAUGUGGGACGUUGCCAAGACGGGAGUUCAAAUCUCCCCGGCUCCA
rnacentral:tRNA from 1 species